CCACAAAAACAAAGUAAAUCUGUAUCAUGCAGGAUACAGAUAUUACAAAAGACAGGCAAUUACACAGUAUAAUUGCAACCAUAAUUCUAAGUGAGUAUACAGAAGAUAUGUACAUAUAUACAGGUUUAAUAAAUAAUAUACAAUAUAAAUAUGAAAACAGAUACAGACAGUCGAUACAAAUACAGCUCACCAGUCACACACAGUCAUGAUCAGAUUCUGCCAAUAGAGGGAGGUGUUUGAUUGACAGGUGUCCGGUCUGCAAUCUCUCCCAUUGAAACUCUGCAAAGAUGAGAAAAGUACCUAUAAUCCAUUUUCAAAACUCAUUAAACACAUGCAAGGAAACCUGCUACAGUUCUAACGUAAACUAUCAUGGUUUCAGGCUUCAAAUUUAUUUUUUCUUCUACAUUAAGCAAAUCAUUGUCAUUAAUGUAGAAGAAAAAGAAAUGUAGACAACGGCGGCUGCCCAUUGGCUCGGAGUCUACACUCUUCUACACAUGCCGGCCGCUCAUUGGCCAGGAGUCUACACUCUCCUCCGAAGUGUAGACAAUGGCGGCCUCCCAUUGGCGCGGAGUCUACAGUUCCCUAGAGCCUUCCCCCUCCCCGACGUUGGCAAUUGACGCUCUCCGAGCGAGUUCAGCCGAAUGGAAAAAGGUAAAAAGUCACCACCGUUUCACCCGUUACACGUCUACGAAGAGGACGACGCCACGCACUUGACGCUCUCCGAGCGAGUUCAGCCGAAUGGAAAAAGGAUGGGAAUCCCUAGAUUGCUGAUUUCAGCGUCAUCCACGGUCACUCUCUGUUGCACCCGCUGGUAGAGUGUGGUGAUCUGGUGCUUGAGAGGGGAGCCGCGAGCCUUUUUCCUGCAGUCCGGGUGAAGCCAGAGCUGUUUAACGAUGCAGUACAUCAGCCGGUUCUUCCUGGAGUCAAGCAGGUGACAGGGAUGUUGCUGUCGGAGGGGCCACUGAAGCAGACGCUGACGCUGACGGAGGAACCACUGACGCCGACGGAGGAACCACUGUUUCAGAUGGGACAGGACCAGACAAGGACGAAGAU